GGUGGGGUCCAGGGGGGAGGACAUUAGGUCCCCCCCCAAUUUGUAUUUAGGGCCCCCACCCCUGAGCGGUGGGUGAGGGCCCUAAACAAGAAUAAGGGGGGGGACCUAAUGUCCUCCCCCCUGGCCCCCCCCUUAUUCUUGUUU